GCACUCUUCUUUCUCUUCAGAUCGCUAAAUCUUUCGCCUUUUACUAAAGAUUUCCGUGCAGAGGAACAACAAGAGUUAUACUAAAUUUUUGAUGCCCUACUAAGAGCUAGGGU